GCUAUUGGUCUAUUUUUAUGGCACCCAAAAAUUUGCAAGAUAUGUCAUUAAUUAUUGUAACUACUAAAAUACUUCACUGUUAUUAAAGUAUGUCUUCUGACUAUAUCCCCUGAAAAGCAUAUAAGAAAUUAUGGCGAUAAAUAAUUUGGCGUUUAUCUGUCAAAUUUGCUUUCUUAUUGUAACUGGUGCCACGCAAAAAAAUAUGCCCCCAAAACAGCAAUCAUUGAUAUUGUCUGAUAUUGUAAGAUCUGAUGUUGAAGGGUCAACGCUUCAGGUAAACUGCACUGCACGCCUUCCAUCACCGAGUGUUACACUCAGGUGGAUUCCACCAGAUCCAAGAAGAGAAGCAUUCAUACAAACUGCAAGAUACGAUAACACUUUGGUCAUGACUAUACCAGCUCUCAGCCGCUUGGAUGCUGGUCACUAUACAUGUAUGUUGUUCUCAGAAAAUGGGAGUGAAGAGACAGCAGAGUUUAGGCUGCUUGUGAAGAGUAAAGAAACAACUUCCCCUUGCAGCAUUACCCAGUUUAAAUGUAAGCGCUCGAAAUUCUGCAUUUUCAUGCGAUACAGAUGUGAUGGAAGAGAUGAUUGUGGGGAUGGCUCAGACGAAGAUUGUGGAGGUGAUCCAUGUAUGGACAAAUUUCGUUGCAACAAUACUAGAUGUGUUUCUUAUGAUGUGUUGUGUGACCACAUUGAUAAUUGUGGAGAUUUAUCAGAUGAAAGUGCAGUUUGUCUACAGAAAUCAACUUCCACUGUGACUUCCCCACCUGUGACUGAAGACAGCCAGUUUGGUUGGAUGAAAAUUACUGUCUCGACAGUUAUAGCAAGUACAGUUGGUGUAGUAAUACUCAUCUCAUUCAUUGUCAUAAUGGUUUUCCGCAUAAAGAUGAAACGUUUGCGUGAACUUAGGAUAGCAAGGGCAUUUGAACGUAUUUAUCAACAUGAUGGGUCUAGAGAACCCACAUCUCCAGGACAUGGUGAGGAGGGCCCAAGUGACCAGCAUCCAUUCUUACCAUCUACAUCUCAACCCCACUAUGGGAACAUCAUCGUUAACGUCAACAACGGAGUGCAGUACAUGCCCGGUUAUGAUUACUCACUCUUUAUGGAUUCCCCGCCUCCAUAUACAGAAGGUAACACAGAUGGAACGGAGCCCAAGCCCCCACCACCCCCGUACAGUACUCUGGAUAGAAGAACCAGCCACAACCCUGAAGCUGUUGGUCCCACAUGUAACACACACGUCUCACAGUCCUCAGUUCAGAACUACCUGGGUAUUCGCAAUGCAGAUGGGAUGGCUUCUGUCCGAAGGGGGAAUUCAGCUGUUAACAAUGACACAUCCAAUCCUGACAAUGAAACAUCAAACACAUCACAAGAGAGGCCAUCAGCACAGGCUGAAAUAAACACUGGGACUUUACCUAACAUCAACAUCAAUUCUAGAUUCCUUCAGUCACUUCUAGGGUCACAUCUUCAAGUCUCAGGUACUGGUACCAACUGCUCCAGGUUCAUGCAAGAGGAUGGGGCUGAAAGAAGUGUGAACCAAACAAGCCACAACCCUGUCACCUGUCAGAUGAGCAGCAUGCCGCGUCUAGGAAGUUCAGCGCCAAACAUUGAACCAGUAUCUUCUCAUUCUUUACCAUCUCAUCAUUGCACAAGGACCAACGUAAAUAAUUCACAGCUAAUUGGCAAUCUUGAAACUAAUGUUGACAGCAGCCUUGCCAAUCCUAUAACCUCUGUAGAUACUGCAUCACAUGAGGAAUCUCUUCGGUUAACUGUUGUAAACAUAAAUGACCCGUCUAAUGACAACCAAUCAGCCUUGAACUCAGGUAACCCAACAACUGAAGUAAGCAACAGUUCUCUAACUUCAUCAGCUGCUCGUGGACAAGAUCUUAUUUCUCCUGAUGAUGAUUAUGAUGACCCCUGGGACAGCUCCCUUCCACUGUUAGCUACUGCUUCGGCUAUUAUGCCACCAUUUUCUGAAGUCAACAUUGAUGGAGGUGCUUUUAUGUCAGAAGAUUGUUUUCAGGAUGGGGUCUCCCCAAAUGAAGAUGGGACAUUCUUAGUAAGAAAGCAUAAAGAUAGGUGGGGGCCUAAAGUGGACUUGAAUAAAGAUAUCAAUGACACCUCUGACAGUUUGCCUGUGUCAUGUGCGAAUAUAAAUAAUUCAGAUGCUAGCACCACAGCAGUGUCCCAUACAAACACAAAUAAUUCUGAUGCAGGCAGUUUGCCUGUGCCUUCUGCUAAUAUAAAUAAUUCAGAUGCUGUUAGUUUGCCUGUCCCCUGUGCUAAUAGAAAUAGUUCAGAUGCCAGCAAUGCUCUGUUUGUUGAGAUCUCAAAACGUGAUGAGGAGAGGAAGCCCAAACCUGGCCACCUGUCAGUGGAGAGGGGACAAAUUCUGUUGCACACAGACCAUGGUGUGUUAGCCAGUGAUUUCUCCCCAUCCAUUUCCCUCAACUCAAGUCUCAGCAACACCCCAACCAAGUCUUCCAACCUGCCGCAACCAUCAAGGCUCAGUGGAGAGCUGGUUGUCAAAGAUGGGGCUAUCAUGUUACAAAUGCCCUCCGCAAGCCGAGGUCAGGGGCAUUCACUCUACAACCCUGACAGAACCAGCAGCCAUGGCAGUAAACUGUCUCUCAGCUCUGUUCAUUCUGAUUCAUCUGCUUCACAUUUGAAGUCAAGUGAUCCUCCUAACACCGCUCCAAUGUCUUCCACUAAUCCAUCUUCACCUUUGUUAGCCCACACUUUGAACAAUGAGGCUUCAGUGGACUCUGGCUCCUGCCACGGUGGAGACAGCAAGAGCCAGGAAAGACUAAGUGGUGAGCUCAGCAUCAAGGACGGUUGUCUUGUUUUGGAAGCUCCAAAGCACACACCAUCCUCUCAGAUUCUUUCUCAUCUACAAGGGGUAUAUGCUGCAGAACAGAGGCCUGACAAGGGCGGGGAUGAAGACAUGCUUGAGCCAGUUGUCAAUACCAAACGCCCUGCAGGCACUGUUGUCAGUCGCCCACCAUUGCCAAAAUUUAACUCUGAUAUUGUCCUUCCAUUUAAAAACCAACAUCUGUAAACCUCCUUUUUUUAAAUCUAAAAUUUUAGCUUUUUGUAUGUAUAUUAUUUGGAUAUUUUUAGUUUUUUAAACUAUAAAUAUUUGCCCUAAAAUCUCAGUUUUUAUGUUUUUAGAAAUCUUAUUUAUCAUAAAAAAUUAUAGUUGACUAAAGUAAUUAUUGUUAGUGGUUGUAAAUUUGUUGAUAAUGGUAUUGAGACUACUAUUGAUAGAAUUUUAUGCAACAUGAAGUGGGGGGCAGUUGAUAUGUGUGUAGUUCAGUUUUUAAAAACAGCUGUGUGGAUUUUUUAAAAUCUUUACUAUGGAUAAAAUUAAAACUCAAAAAGUUUUUACUAAUUGUGAAAUAAAAGGUUUUAGGCCUUUAAUGGGUUUUCCCUAGAUCUUUCAUUAAAGAUUACAAUAAGGAUUCUCUUGACUGCCAAUAAGAUCAAUUAUAAUAUAAGGCGUAGUUUCUUUUUAAAAUAACACUAUUUUUAUAUUGUAUUUUAUAGUGUGUUUUUUUUUUAUGAAGACUCUAAUUCAAUUAAAUAGUUUUUUAUGCCAUUUAAAUGUUGUUCCUGUUAUAACUUUGUUGAUAAACAUGUGAAAAAAAGUUGUAGGUUCCUAUACCUUGUUAUACUAAAUUGCUUUUUACCGACAUUUUGUUAUAGUGUCUGAAUAUCUUGUUUUGUAUAAAUUUUAUCCAGGUUGUAUCUGACUUGAAUGCUUUUACAUUAUGUUUAGAUCUACUUGUUAUUUUUAAAACUAGUUUUUAAAAAUAUCUUUAUAAAAAGAUCAAUAUGUACUACUGAUAUACAAUUUUGUUUUUGUUUGAACUUAAACUGUGUCUGUAGACUAACAAUCAAUGUAAUAAGUCAAUAUCUAAUAUAAAUUGUCUUUUAUACCUGUAUAUACUUGGAUUACCUAGUUAUAUUAUUAUAAUAUUAGCUGCUACCAUCUUGUCCUAAGAUUUGUGUCAAGGUCUUAAUUCAUAACUAUCAUUUUUAGUCAAUGAUUUUUUAAAUUUAAGUAUGAAAAUUUCACGAUGCAGAGAUAUUGUAAGUUUAAGGAUUGAUAAUACAUCAACAUCUCUUGAUGGCUUCUUAAUUAAUAGACCUGAUGGUCUAUGGGACAAGUAAAAAUUCAUGUUCUUUUUUAUCUCUGCAUAUGAAGGGAUAGUGUGUUCAGAAUUAUGCCCAGCCGUCUUUACUUUCCCUAGCAUGAGUCAGGUAGACUCAGUGACGUUCUAUGGACUUGAACCUAGAUUUGACCAUGCCAUCCCAUUUCUGUCCAUAAUAUAGAAUAUAAAAGAAAUGUUCCAGCCUCUAUCAGCGGUAUGCUCUAGACAUGUUGUGACCACAUCAAUAGAACUCUGCUUCAACUUGAUCUGCAGCUUUUAGUCUAAGGCUUUGACAAUGAUGACUAAAAUAUAAAAGUACCUGAUAAUGUUUCAGCAAACUAACUUUGCUGUCAUCAGUUGUGUUGAAUCCAUCUUGUUGAUCUUUUUAAAUUCUACAUGAAUUCUUGUUGAUUAGGUGUGCAUCAAUGAUUGUAUACAUCAAUGAUUGUUGUUGUAUUUUUUUAUGAAUCUCAUGAAACUGUUUUCUGUUGUUUAUCAUAACUAUUCAAAUUCAACUUGUGUUGUAAACAUUUACAGUGAAAAUGUUAAGUCAAUUAAUUUUUUUUUUAGUCAUUUUGAGUUGUUUAUUUAAAAAUACUCUUGAUAAUCCUUCCUAGAUUCUUCUUUUUUUCUUUUCACAUUGUUACAGAUAAUACUAUGCUUCUUUUUAAUAAAUUUUAUUUUUCAUCUAAGACGGGAGAACCAUACUAUUGUUCACAUAGUUAAAUUUCAAGUCUUAACAAAUGUGUGCAUUUAAUCAAUAGAUCUGUAUGGCCCUAGUACUUUUACUCAUCAAUUUUUGUUUAACUGACAGUAAUUGUCUAUACUGAUUCAUAUUAAUUUUUAUUUUUGCUAGUUGGGGUUUUGUAAAUAUUGUAUAAAACAAACCUACUCCACACCACUAUUUUUUGCCUCUCAUUUUUGUGUUAGUCAGGAGUCCUGGGGGUGACUUGUGCAAAACUAAACUAUGUGAAUAGAUGUUCAUUUCUGAAAUAAUAUAUAUUGUAUAUGUAAGUUUUUUAAAACUAAUGAAACCAAUUUGUUGUAGGUUGUGUAUAUUUUACAAAUCUUUUUAUUUGUGAACUGGGUGAUCUGAUGACUGUUUAUAACUGUUAUGAAUUAAUGAACAAAUUGUUUUACAUACUGCAUAUUCAUAUUUAACAAUUACUUCAUCUUUAGCCGUUUUUCAUUUUAACUAUCAUUUCUCUCCAACUAUUAUUUUAUAAUUAAACAAAUUAUUGCUUCAGGUUAAAUAAGAUCUCUGCUAACUAUAUCUGUAAUUUUAUUUUUUUAAUUUUUGCGUCAUUAGAUUUAGUUCUUCUGUAGUCUUUUGAUCUAAUCUUCCUACCUCAUCAUGUGUUUUAUUUAUUUUCAUGUUUACCCUGUCCUGCUCUAGUAUAUUCAAAUCUGUAGGGUCACAACUUCACUCUGAAUGUUUGUUAACAGAAACAGAAGCUCUACUGAUGACUUUAUGCUGUGUACAUAUUGUUUUUUUUUACAAAUUAAUUUAAUAAGUAUAUCUGUACAGCUUGUCACUUGCGUGAGUGUGAUUUUCAUGCCAUUAUUUAAUCAAAACUCUGAGGGUUUAAUUCUUCCAGUGGUACCAUCUGUUGUGUUGUUUGUUUGUUAAAUACUAGGUCAUGAAGGUUGUGUGCUGUCUCUGUCAGUUUAAGUUAGUCUAUCAUAAUGUUGUGGUGUAAGUUAAUAAGUCGUCAAUGGGAUUGUGGUGUCAGUGUGUGUAAGUUAGUAGGUCAUCAAAGGGAUUGUGGUGUCAGUGUGUGUAAGUUAGUAGGUCAUCAAAGGGAUUGUGGUGUCAGUGUGUGUAAGUUAGUAGUUCAUCAAAGAGAUUGUGUUGUUAGUGUAAGUAAGGUAAUCAAAUAGUUUUUUUUGGUGUCUGUGGAAGUUAGUAGGUCAUCAAAGGAAUUGUGGUGUCAUUGUAAGUUAGUAGGUCAUAAAGGAAUUGUGGUGUCAGUGUAAGUUAGUAGGUCAUCAAAGGGAUUGUGAUGUUAGUGUAAGUUAGGUAAUCAAAUAGUUUUUUUUGGUGUCUGUGGAAGUUAGUAGGUCAUCAAAGGGAUUGUGGUGUCAGUGUAAGUUAGUAGGUCAUCAAAGGGAUUGUGGUGUCAAUGGAAGUUAGAAGAUCAUUUAAUAAAUUGUGAUGGCACCCCAUGAGUGAAUGCUUAACUUUCAACUUUUUAAAUAUAAUCUCAUCUAAACAUUGUUGUUAGGUAGUUUUAAUUUUAACAUGAGAUUACUGGUAUGAUGUUUGAAAUUAAAAUGAAACAGAAUUUGAGAAUGUCAAUUUUCUGCUGCUGUUUCAAGUUGAGACACUAUAAUCAGGUCAACUCAAGUUCUUAUUUAAAUGUGUAGAGUGUACAUAACAAUAGACUGUGGUUAAAUGGGUAUUAACAGUAGCUGACUUACUGCUAUAAGCAGUAGUUGACUUCUGAUGUUUUCAACUGUUUUGUAAAACCUACCAGCAAAAAAAUAAAUCAUUUUUAUUCUAAUCUUUA